rnacentral:rRNA from 1 species
GUGCCAGCAGCCGCGGUAAUACAGAGGGUGCAAGCGUUGCUCGGAAUCAUUGGGCGUAAAGGGUAGGUAGGUGGUCUCGUUUGUCUAGGGUGAAAGCCCAGGGCUUAACCCUGGAAGUGCCCUGGAAACGGCGAGACUGGAGUCUUGGAGAGGGUCGUGGAAUUCCCGGUGUAGCGGUGAAAUGCGUAGAGAUCGGGAGGAACACCAGAGGCGAAGGCGGCGACCUGGACAAGCACUGACACUCAACUACGAAAGCGUGGGGAGCAAACAGGAUUAGAAACCCUCGUAGUCC